rnacentral:rRNA from 1 species
GGCCCAGACUCCUACGGGAGGCAGCAGUGAGGAAUAUUGGUCAAUGGGCGCGAGCCUGAACCAGCCAAGUCGCGUGAGGGAGGACGGCCCUACGGGUUGUAAACCUCUUUUGCCGGGGAGCAACGGGCGUCACGUGUGGCGCCACUGAGAGUACCCGGAGAAAAAGCAUCGGCUAACUCCGUGCCAGCAGCCGCGGUAAUACGGAGGAUGCGAGCGUUAUCCGGUUUUAUUGGGUUUAAAGGGUGCGUAGGCGGAUCGUGAGGUCAGUGGUCAAAUGGGGGGACACAACCCCUCCCCGCCAUUGAAACUGGCGCUCUUGAGUGGAAGAGAAGUAUGCGGAAUGCGUGGUGUAGCGGUGAAAUGCAUAGAUAUCACGCAGAACCCCGACUGCGAAGGCAGCAUGCCGGCUUCCGACUGACGCUGAAGCACGAAAGCGUGGGGAUCGAACAGGAUUAGAUACCCCUGUA